rnacentral:rRNA from 1 species
CCUACGGGAGGCAGCAGUGAGGAAUAUUGGUCAAUGGACGCAAGUCUGAACCAGCCAUGCCGCGUGCAGGAAGACGGCUCUAUGAGUUGUAAACUGCUUUUGUACGAGGGUAAACGCAGAUACACGUCUCUGUUUGAAAAUAUCGGACGAAUAAGGAUCGGCUAACUCCGUGCCAGCAGCCCCGGGAAUACGGAGGAUUCAAGCGUUAACCGGAUUUAUUGGGUUGAAAGGGUGCGUAGGCGGGCUGAAAAGUUAGAGGUGAAAUCCCGCGGCUCAACUACGGAAUUGCCUCUGAUACUGUUCGUCUAGAGAGUAGUUGCGGUAGGAGGAAUGUAUGGUGUAGCGGUGAAAUGCUUAGAGAUCAUACAGAACACCGAUUGCGAAGGCAGCUUACCAAGCUACUUCUGACGUUGAGGCACGAAAGCGUGGGGAGCAAACAGGAUUAGAUACCCCAGUAGUC